rfam:Betaproteobacteria bacterium RIFCSPLOWO2_12_FTLL_68_19 rifcsplowo2_12_scaffold_5216, whole genome shotgun sequence.
CGUCUUGCGCCUGAAAAGGCGGCGGUGCGAGCCGUGGGCGAGAAGUCAGCAGAGGCCGUAGUAGCCGCCCGGACGGGGCGAAGGGC